CAGUCGCCGCGGUAAUACAGAGGGUGCGAGCGUUAAUCGGAUUUACUGGGCGUAAAGCGUGCGUAGGCGGCUUCUUAAGUCGGAUGUGAAAUCCCUGAGCUUAACUUAGGAAUUGCAUUCGAUACUGGGAAGCUAGAGUAUGGGAGAGGAUGGUAGAAUUCCAGGUGUAGCGGUGAAAUGCGUAGAGAUCUGGAGGAAUACCGAUGGCGAAGGCAGCCAUCUGGCCUAAUACUGACGCUCAUGCACGAAAGCGUGGGGAGCAAACAGGAUUAGAUACCCCGGUAGUCCCUGUCUCUUAUAC
rnacentral:rRNA from 1 species